CCUACGGGUGGCUGCAGUGGGGAAUAUUGGACAAUGGGCGAAAGCCUGAUCCAGCCAUGCCGCGUGUGUGAAGAAGGCCUUCGGGUUGUAAAGCACUUUCAGUGGGGAAGAAAGCCUUGGGGCUAAUACCCUCGAGGAAGGACAUCACCCACAGAAGAAGCACCGGCUAACUCCGUGCCAGCAGCCGCGGUAAUACGGAGGGUGCGAGCGUUAAUCGGAAUUACUGGGCGUAAAGCGCGCGUAGGCGGUCUGAUAAGCCGGUUGUGAAAGCCCCGGGCUCAACCUGGGAACGGCAUCCGGAACUGUCAGGCUAGAGUGCAGGAGAGGAAGGUAGAAUUCCCGGUGUAGCGGUGAAAUGCGUAGAGAUCGAGAGGAAUACCAGUGGCGAAGGCGGCCUUCUGGACUGACACUGACGCUGAGGUGCGAAAGCGUGGGUAGCAAACAGGAUUAGAUACCCUAGUAGUC
rnacentral:rRNA from 1 species